AUUGAACGCUGGCGGCAUGCCUUACACAUGCAAGUCGAACGGCAGCACGGGAACAAUCCUGGUGGCGAGUGGCGAACGGGUGAGUAAUAUAUCGGAACGUGCCCAGUCGUGGGGGAUAACGUAGCGAAAGCUACGCUAAUACCGCAUACGAUCUAUGGAUGAACGCGGGGGAUCGCAAGACCUCGCGCGAUUGGAGCGGCCGAUAUCAGAUUAGGUAGUUGGUGGGGUAAAGGCUCACCAAGCCGACGAUCUGGAGCUGGUCUGAGAGGACGACCAGCCACACUGGGACUGAGACACGGCCCAGACUCCUACGGGAGGCAGCAGUGGGGAAUUUUGGACAAUGGGCGCAAGCCUGAUCCAGCAAUGCCGCGUGCAGGAUGAAGGCCUUCGGGUUGUAAACUGCUUUUGUACGGAGCGAAAAGGCUUCCACUAAUACUGGGGGCUCAUGACGGUACCGUAAGAAUAAGCACCGACUAACUACGUGCCAGCCGCCGCGGUAAAAC
rnacentral:rRNA from 1 species